rnacentral:rRNA from 1 species
CAGACCAUCAGCUAAGGUCCCAAAAUGUAUGCUAAGUGGAAAAGGAUGUGGAGAUGUACAGACAACUAGGAGGUUGGCUCAGAAGCAGCCAUCCUUUAAAGAGUGCGUAACAGCUCACUAGUCGAAUGACUCUGCGCCGAUAAUUUACCGGGGCUAAGCAUACUACCGAAGCUAUGGAUCCUACGGGAUGGUAGGGGAGCGUUCCAUGAACGGAGAAGUACGACCGGAAGGACGUGUGGAGAUCAUGGAAGAGAGAAUGCCGGUGUGAGUAGCGGAACGUGGGUGAGAAUCCCACGCACCGAAAACCCAAGGAUUCCAGAGGAAGGUUCGUCCGCUCUGGGUAAGUCGGGACCUAAGGCGAGGCCGAAAGGCGUAGUCGAUGGACAACAGGUAGAGAUUCCUGUACUUGUAUAUAUGUGAAGGAAUGACGGAGAGAGAAAGCUGAAGCCAGCGGCUGGAAGAGCUGGUGCAAGCGAGAUAGCGGGAUGGCAGGCAAAUCCGCCAUCCACAACGCGAAGACGUGAUGCGAACGGAAAGCUACGGCGAGUACGGAAGUCAGUGGACGAGCUUCCAAGAAAAGUUUCUAACAUAAGUAUAUGCAACCCGUACCGAAAAUGGACACACAUGGGUGAGGAGAGAAUCCUAAGGUGAGCGAGAGAACUAUAGCUAAGGAACUCUGCAAAAUGACUCCGUAACUUAGGGAGAAGGAGUGCUCAUAGAGAUAUGAGCCGCAGUGAAACGGCCCAAGCGACUGUUUACCAAAAACACAGCUCUCUGCUAAGCCGCAAGGCGAAGUAUAGGGGGUGACGCCUGCCCGGUGCUGGAAGGUUAAGGGGAGGGGUUAACGCAAGUGAAGCCCUGAACUGAAGCCCCAGUAAACGGCGGCCGUAACUAUAACGGUCCUAAGGUAGCGAAAUUCCUUGUCAGGUAAGUUCUGACCCGCACGAAAGGCGUAACGAUUUGGGCGCUGUCUCAGCUGUAGACUCGGUGAAGUCUUAGUACCUGUGAAGAUGCAGGUUACCCGCGACUAGACGGAAAGACCCCAUGGAGCUUCACUGCAGGUUGAUAUUGGGAUUUGAUGCAGCAUGUACAGGAUAGGUAGGAGGCUAGGAGAUGGAUACGCCAGUAUUCAAGGAGCCGCUGUUGGGAUACUACCCCUGUUGUAUUGGAUUUCUAACCGGACGACGUAAGCCGUUGACGGGACAGUGUCAGUCGGGCAGUUUGACUGGGGCGGUCGCCUCCCAAAGAGUAACGGAGGCGCCCAAAGAUACCCUCAGCUUGGAUGGAAAUCAAGCGCAGAGUGCAAAGGCAAAAGGGUGUUUGACUGCGAGACCAACAAGUCGAGCAGGGACGAAAGUCGGGCUUAGUGAUCCGGCGGUAGAGAGUGGAAUUGCCGUCGCUCAACGGAUAAAAGCUACCUCGGGGAUAACAGGCUGAUCUCCCCCAAGAGUCCACAU